GGAGUCCAAAAUUUGCUUGUUGAUCUUAAGACCUCCCUAACAGAUAUUAUUAACACCUUCCAAGAUUUGGGAGAGGAUCUUACAAGUGCCCUCAAAGUACAAAUGGGUGGCAUGAUGACUGACCUCAGUGGACUCUUAGGUGGAUUAAGUAAG